rnacentral:tRNA from 1 species
GGUUGUAGCUCAGUGGUAGAGUGCUUGCCUAGCAUGUGUGAGACACUGGGUUUGAUCCUCAGCACCA